AACCUCCUUCCCGAGAGCAGGCCUGAAUAAUUUUGAGAAGUAAAAGGGUAAGACAUCACUAUGUUAGCUCAUACAGCAAAUGAUUUUUUCAUAAGUCCUUAACUAUUAUUUCAGUUUACUGGUCAAUCAUCCAUACCAACAAUUCAUUAAAGUUCUACUGGAAAGUUCUACUAGGAACCACAUUUAAUUAUCUUCAUAUCAAUAUUAACAUUUAUGCAGUUAGAAAUCUCCAGAUAACCUGUUAGCACAGCACGUCCAAAUGGCUAUGGUAAGCCAAUCAUUUCUCCAGAAUCCCUAGUUUAGAUCAGUGUCACCACUAGUCUUUGAGUCAUACAACUUCAGCUUAUAAAAGCAUAUUUGAAAAGUUCAUUAGCCUUCAGAGUCCCACAUUCAUCAACAAGUAUCAUCCAUUCUAUCCCUGUAGUAUCUCUCACACCAAUUUUCCCCAUUUUUUCAUUCCCUACCAUAUUUUAUUUUCUUCCAGUUUCAGUAAUUGCUUGACUUUCUUCUCUCUCCAAUGAAUCUUGUUUAAUCCUCCAACUACUGAAGACAGCUUUACCUUGUUAAAGCAUGUGUUUAAUUUUCUCAGUCUUCUAAUUCCACUGUUUCCCCCUAAAAAGUAUAAGGCUGGCUGUGCAGUCUUGUACAAUUUGAUUCCUGACCUUCCCUUCUCUCUCCAAUGUUUCCUCAAACAAAACUUAAUUUCAAGCCCAAAGGAAUUAUUUACUUUUCUCCAAAAAAAGAUUCCAUAUAUUUUCACCUUUAAACACUUAUUUAAGCUGACUGUUCCCUCUGUUCCAAUCCUUUAAUCUUCAUUUAAAAGUCUCCAUGAAAUCUUUUCCCACAACACUCCUGUCUACCACCAACAAAAGAGAACUUAAAUUGUAUCAAUACGUUGUUCUUUAAACUCUUCAAGCCUUCGUCUUCAUAUUUCCGAUGACAAGUAUCUUCUGCCUUAUAGUGCAGUAAUCUGCAUACUUGUCAUAACUCUUGGAAAUAUUUUUGGAGGGAAACAUGUUUAUCAGUUCAUUUUUUGAAUAGCUGUUUCCCCAAUAAAUUUUUUUUCCUACUGUACAGCAUGGUGACCCAGUUACAUAUACAUGCACACAUUCUAUUUUCGCACAUUAUCAUGCUCCAUCUUAAGUGACUAGACAUAGUUCCAAGUGCUACCCAGCAGGAUCUCAUUGCUAAUCCAUUCCAAAGGCAAUAGUUUGUAUCUAUUAACCCCAAACUCCCCAACCACCCCACUCCCUCCCCCUCCCCCUUGGCAACCACAAGUCUAUUCUCCAAGUCCCUGAUUUUCUUUUCUGUGGAUCAGUUCAUUUUUAUAACAGCUACUGUCUCUGACUCUUGGUUUCCUUAUCUGUAAAAUGGAGAUAAUAAUUUGUUAUUAUCAAGGCUAUUUUGACAAACAAAUAAGGCAGCACUAUAUGAAAGUACAUUAGUAUAGAUAUGUUUACUUUUCCUCCUAUUAUGAGGAAUCAUAGACUGAUAUGUACAGAAUGAAAAUUGCAGAUGAAUCGUCUGACUUUCAAUAUUUUGGCCAUUGCUGCCGUCAUGCCAACCAGGGAGCCUACCAAAGAGAUGCUUCAUGGCAAUGCAAGUUUUCAGUUGAUUUGUAACUAUUUUUGUUUGUUUGUUUGUUUGUUUUAAAGUUAAGGAGAUAUUUGCCUUAAGGGUGAAAAAUUCAUGGCAAAACAGAGUACAUUUUUGAACAUUUAUUUUGUGCAAGACAUAUGGUGGCUUCAUUUUGCAGAAAAUGCACAUUUUUGGAGCUUUACUUGAAAGAUUUCUAUUAACUAUAUAUUAUCCCUUUCAGGCUACUACAAUUUCAAUAGGAAUUAUUUCUAAAAUAUUGAAUUUGUGGUAAGGCCAGAAAUAGAAGAAGAGAUAUUUUGCCAUAAAAUCCAUAAAGACUAUAGUUUUGAAAAGGCCAAUGACUUCUGGAUUCUUUAGCUUUCACCAGAUUUUAUAAUUUAGGAUGAUAUAUUUAUGGCCCUUUCUAGCUUUUCUUUCUGAUCAUUAUUGCUGUUAAAUAGAAUCAUUGCUGUGUACUCUUUUCACAGGUGUUAUAUAUGACCUUUGCAAAAUAUUUUAAGGCAGAAAAUUAAAUGCCAUGUAUGCUCAUAAAUGUAAUGGUAUAAUAUUCUUUGUCCUCUCAUGUGUUUCUAAUGUAUGAAACACAUUAAACACUUUAAACUUGUGAUGGCAUGUCAUUUAAUGUAUCGUGUUAUAAUGUCAAUAACUCAGUAUAUUAUACAUAUUCACUCAUAUUUCCAAUUAUUAAUUUAGUCAAUUAUACCAAUAUUUAAAGAACAUCCAUUGUGUACUCAGCUGCUCAUCACUCUAAUCAUUAUGCCUUUGCUUUGCAUUUUAUAGCUUUAUGCUUAAAUAUGAUCCCUAUACUUUUCAUGUGUUUUGAAAUUAAGGAGGCAGUUGCAUUAAAGGAAGAAAGAAAGAUUUAUGAGGAGAAUACAAAAUAGUUACUGAUAUGUGUUUUGUGUAAGAAAUACAGUGGCUCAGUUGAAAAAUAUUGUGGUUUUGAGUGGUUCUUGAAUUAUUUAUAACAAGUACUAUUUAAAUAUUGCUUAAUUUUCAAAGUGAUUUACUAGUUAUUAUUUCAUUAGCUUCUCACAAUAGCCCUAAGAUGUAGACAUAGAAUCAUUAUUAAUAUCCAAAUCUGCCUUUGAGAAGAAUGGGUUGUUGUGUUUUCAAGAGAUAAGCCUAGGGUCCUGCAAAUUAUAUUUAGGAAGGCAAAAAAAGUACAAUUCAUUUGUCUCUGCUAUUCACAUUUUUAUAUUGUCCCAAGCAGAUUUUCUGGCCCAUAUUAGUGCCAUUCAAAGCAAGAAGUCCUAUACAGUCUGCUUACCCUGCUUCCUCUGCCCACACAGAAUCUGAGGUCUUCUCUUACCCUAUAUUGGUAGGUAAAAAGUUAUCUUCUUUGAAUACACAGCAUAAUGAUGGAUCUAAGUACACAGGUCCUUCGAGUACAGAGAUCUAUAUCAAUCUCUAGGAGUCUCUAGAGAAAUCUAUGACAUGACAAGCCUAUAGUCAAUUUCAAAAAGGUUUUCAAAACCUGAGAAUAAUUACAUUGGAAUCUAAUGGAGGUAAUUUUCAUGUAAUUUCCAAAUUUCUACGUUCAGUAAAAUGAAAUUUUCAAGGAACAAAAAUUGUCACUGGGGAUAUCAUUGGCAAUGUUGGAGCAGAGAAAUGUCAGUACUCUAUGAUUUCCACUAUCCUUGAUUAUCUCUUUACAAAAUUAGAGUGGGACAUCCAAAAAAUCUUCAUUAAUCCUCUAUUGUUCCAUUUCAAAUACACAACUGUGCCUAUGACCCAAAUAGAUCCUGCAGUAAAUUCCAUGAGGGCACAAUGGGGAAUGAGGGAUAGGUAAAAAGGACGGAAUUGACUAGAAAAUAAGUAAAACCACAUUAUUGCAUAACAUAGACCAUUUGUAACGUGAAAGUAAUCACGUGACUUAUCAUGAGUUAUUUAGUUUGCAAAUGCAUUAUGAAGGCAUGUUGUGAUUACCUCUAGAAUGAAUCGAUGCAAGAAACUGAAGUUUAAACAUCUAUCUGCCUAAUGUAAAGAAUCACACUUCUCAAAUUAGGCUACCAAGUAGGGUUAAUUCAAAACUCUUAGAGUUUUUUCUUCUUCUAUUUAUAAAUUAGAUAUAAUAAUGAGAGGAGAGGAAUUAUGCCAUGCAGGAGGGGAGGCAGUGAGGUUGCUGGCUUCUCUGUUCUUUAAGAUUUGCUCUCCAGGCAUUGCUAAUCCAUUACCCUGGUAGCCAGUUUCUCCAGGGUUCUUCAUAUUCUUGGAUCAAGCCACCUGAGGAUUAAACCAGAAAACUAAUCCCAUCAUUUAAAUUAAGAAACUCAGAUUUCAUAUUAUUCACUGGCUUUCUUUCAGCUCAUAAAGUAUGCAAUUCUGAAUGAUGAAACAUCCCUGUUUAAAAAAUAAAAAUUAUUUCAGAGAAGAUUGGAAAGAGUAUGUCCAGUUUGCUAAGGAAGAGAAGGCACCUCAGGCCCCCAGAUCUCAGGGUCUUGGUGAUGGAGACAGGGUCCUUAUUCCAUUUUUCCACCUUCCUCCCAUAGCUUUGGGAUGUACAUCUGAUUGUGUAAACCAGAUAGGCAUAGCACAUGGUAUGGACUUAAAAUAUGGCUUGGCCAGUGAGGUCACUCAGUGUUUCCUAAAAGAAUGUUGCAAUACUUCAUAAUUCCAGAAUGGUGAAGGCACAGUCAGAUGAAAAUUUCUAAAACUGAUUUAGAUUACAUGACAGUAUGAAGUUAAUUGCAUUCUCAUCCAAUCUGAACUAUCUUGUUUAUUGGGAGGAGUGGGCUAUCAAAAUGUACAAGUUUAUAGUGUAAAAAUCAUAAACAAUGCUCAUUUGAAGCAAAACACAUCACAGAUGCAUGUUCCGGAAUUGAAAGUAAUGCUACAUGGAGUUGCCGUCAUGGCUCAGUGGUUAACGAAUCUGACUAGGAACCAUGAGUUUGCAGGUUCCAUCCCUGACCUUGCUCAGUGGGCUGGGGAUACAGCCUUGCCGUGAGCUGUGGUGUAGGUCACAGACUCUGCUCUGCUCGGAUCCUGUGUUGCUGUGGCUCUGGCGUAGGCCGGCGGCUACAGCUCCAAUUAGACCCCUAGCCUGGGAACCUCCAUAUGCCGUGGGUACGGCCCUAGAAAAGACAAAAAGACAAAUAAAUAAAUAAAAAUAAAAUAAAACUAAUGCUACACUAAAAGCCCUACAUUCACUACAAUUUGUCCAAUUUUUUGAAUUAAACACCACUAAUGAGGACAACACAUUAACUUAUGAUGUAAGAUUGUAAAAUAAUGUCAGUAAUCAAUAUAUUCUUCAUAUCUACCUCUGUUUCCAAUUACUGAUUUAUAUUGAAAUAUCUUAAUUUCUUUACAUGAGCUCUCCUUCAAUACAGAAAAUCCUCUAUCAGAACAUAUCUUGACAAACAAUAUAUCAUAAGACAUGGAUACAAUAUCUGUAAACUUUAUUAUAAUUUAGAAUAGAAAAAUUAUGUUCUGAGGCAUUACAAUGGCUUUAAAAGAUGACUAAAAACUUUUACUCUCCUCAGAGUUCCCGUCAUGGGGCAGUGGUUAACGAAUCCAACUAGGAACCAUGAGGUUGAGGGUUUGGUCCCUGCCCUUGCUCAGUGGGUUUAAUGAUCCGGCGUUGACGUGAGCUGUGGUGUAGGUUGUAGACGCGGCUCGGAUCCCGCGUUGCUGUGGCUCUGGUGUAGGCCGGUGGCUACAGCUCAGAUUAGACCCCUAGCCUGGGAACCUCCAUAUGCUGCGGGAGCGGCCCUAGAAA
rnacentral:lncRNA from 1 species